AGUAAUUUUCUCACUGCACCGUAAAACGAAUGUUUGAGGAUGCUGGGAAAUGUUCAUUCGGAACGCAGCGGAAUUUAAACUGGUCCCCAUAUGAUACCAAUUUAUUGCGGGCAAUGGCUGCUCCGAGAAUAUGUGGUUUUCGGGUUUUCACCACAAGAGCAAAUUAUACAACUUUAUUCUUGAAAAUGUUGGAGACUGAGACUUGGAGUCAAAGUCAACAGACACGCUUGCAUGGACAUGAAGGAUGUAAAGAACUAGGAGUAUUAUAACUGAAAGCAUUUUGUCUGGAUUUGUGUAUGGAAACAGAAGGAUUUAGUAUUGGUAUCCUGAAUUUUUGUCAACUUCUAGCCAAGAUCCUGUA